AGUGGGAUAGCUGGGUCAUAUGGUUGUUUCACUUCUAGUUUUUUGAGGAAUCUCCAUAUUGCUUUCCAAAUUGGUUGUACCAAUUUGCAGUCCUACUAACAAU
rnacentral:pre_miRNA from 1 species